GCGCCUGUAGCUUAAAGGAGUAGAGCACUGGCCCCAUAUGCCAGAGGUGGCAGGUUCAAACCCAGCUCUGGCCA
rfam:Otolemur garnettii contig085950, whole genome shotgun sequence.